rnacentral:rRNA from 1 species
GAUGAACGCUGGCGGCGUGCUUAACACAUGCAGGUCGAACGAAGCACUUUACUUGAUUUUCUUCGGAACUGAUUGUACUGUGACUGAGUGGCGGACGGGUGAGUAACGCGUGGAUAACCUGCCUCACACAGGGGGAUAACAGUUGGAAACGGCUGCUAAUACCGCAUAAGCGCACAGCACCGCACGGUGCAGUGUGAAAAACUCCGGUGGUGUGAGAUGGAUCCGCGUCUGAUUAGGCAGUUGGCGGGUAACGCCACAAACCGACGAUCAGUAGCCGGCCUGAGAGGGCGACCGGCCACACUUGGGACUGAGACACGGGCCCAGACUCCUACGGGAGCAGCAGUGGGGAAUAUGCACAA